UGCAUCCGUCUCCUUGAAAAUAUAACCAUAGCAACCAUAAACUAAAUAAACUGUCAUAUGAAAAGCUGGAUAGUUUAGAAGAAAAACACACUGGUAUUUUCUUAAAGAAACAGAAAAUAAUGAUAGUAAGUCGUUAUCAACAAAGUGACAAUGCAAAGAAAGUUGGAAUAAUAGAGUAAAGUGCUUGUUAGACAGAAGGUAUACCUCAGAGAUCUGCAGGUGGCAAAUGAGUCUCAAAGCCCGGGAUGGCAGCUCCACCAGCAUGACCACCCACUCUGAAAGAAUGACCAUCUUUGAUUUAGGCUGCCAGAGCCAUUGCUAUUGACCUGUGCUGUGUGUGGGGUGGCCAAGACUGGCUGGCUCUUGAUGGGAGCUUUUUUUGAUGACAGCAGCGCCACUAAAAAGGGUUCUGCAGUGAUGAGAAAAGAGCUUGCCCAACUGGGAGACUCAAGCCCGUCUGAGUUGCAUGUUUUUUAUCUGUGCACGUGUGUGUGUGUCUGAAUGAAUGCAGGUGUGCAUUUGCACUGAGGAUGUUUCCGUUCAUCACCGAGCUCUGGCUCUCAGGGUACUGCUGUAGACAUAAGUUGUCUCAGAGGACACUGAUUGGGCUCAGCGGGGCACGAUGAGCUUGAGGUAGAUGAGGUGGAAAUGAACUUAAACUGACCUGCCAAGCAAGUAUAGCGCUCAUGUAGUUUCACAAGCACACUUACACAUAAAUAUUUGUGUAGAUAAAAAGUUUCUUAUAUGAUAGGUUUUGAAAUAGCAUUUCAUUUCAGACACAUUAAAUGCACAGACAUGCUUCAUGAGUACAUAAAUGUAGCUCAGUUUGAAAGCACCAUAUGAUUGCUCAUCGUGCUCCCGUUUGCGUUCCCUCUGGCCGUGCUGUGUAUCUGUACGUUUGCCUGUGAUGUUCUUACAUUCUUUUCUUAAUUUUAUGCAUCCCACUGUGUACAUACAGAGCAUGUUCAAAAUUUUCUGUGAAUUUUCUACUGCAGUGGUUUCAUGUAUAUUUGUGCUCAGGAAGUGUUUUAUCUUUACAUGUCCCACUGCGUGUGCUACCUAUUUUAAUGCAUCAGUGUUUGGGUUGCAGGCAGCGGAAACCUUUGAUGUAAAUAUAUGCACGGACAAUAUCCAUGCAAGAAAUAAUCCCACCUAUGCUUCAGUGUGUUGUACUGUUGUUUUUGUUUGUCUGUUUUUCCUUUUGUGUUUAUUACUUUCUGAACACCUUGGUAUGAAAAAUACUUGCAAUUUAUUUAUAUUAAUUAAACCACCAGGACUAAUUAUCUGCAUGCACAGAAUAAAUUUGGAUACCUCACAAUCGCCUCAGAAAUGCAUAAAAGUCUUAUGGCAUCAAUUUGCUGUGGAACACAUAUAAACUACAUGACAGUUGUAAGUUUUUGGAAGUUAAAGCUUGAUCAUCUGUAGCAGUUACUAAGAGGAGUGGGGG